ensembl:lncRNA
UUAGGUUAAGGACUUCUGCUUUUUUAUUCGCUGUUGGAUCCUCUAGACACAACUGAGAACAAUGUUUCCCAUGCAGGAGAUGUUCAAUAAAUGGUUAAGGGAAAGAAUGCUAGGACUUUGGAGGUUGUUGUCUGGUCUCAAUUCAGAGAGGAGACUAGGCUGCCACACCUUUAGUGAGUGGGAAAGCUGGGACAAGAAUCCAGGUCUCUUUUUCAUUGCUCUUCCCUUUCCGCAACUUUCUACUCAGCCAUGGACGCUCAAGACUGAUAUUUGAUAAUUAAGUAAGAUAAUAGGAAAUAGUACUGAACAUGUUUCUGAGUGUUUGGCCAAAUAAAACUAUGCUACUCUUUUAAUCUACUAACUUAUCAUCCUGGAUGGCAUCACUGACUCGCUGGAUGUGAGUCUGAGUGAACUCCGGGAGUUGGUGAUGGACAGGGAGGCCUGGCGUGCUGCGAUUCACGGGGUCGCAAAGAGUCGGACAUGACUGAGCGACUGAACUGAACUGAACUUAUCGUCCAAAACAAAUGUCAGCAAUGAGUAGAAGGGGGUGAGGCAUGAAUUACUAUAAUUGAUAAAAAAAACAGCAGGUUAUUGAUCAUAUGAGUCACUGUCCUGCGCCAGGGAACAAUGGUCUGAGUUGUCUGCAAAGGAAAAUGACUCUGGGAAAGAACUUGAUUUGUUCCCUUGAUGAACAGGUGAUGGAAGGAUCUGCUCAAUGGCUCCUUUUACUCAGUUCUUUACCUGAGCAGUGGCUGUAUAAACUGCUGUUAAUACGCUCAGUGUCUACCAUGCAAAGCUCAGAAAGGGAAUUGCCCUUCUAUGGAGUGGCUUGGGCUCCUUUUGCUGAGAGGAUGCCUGUGGAGAAGACUGUUUCGUCCACCCUACACCCACCCGUCUCCAAUCCCUUUCUCUGUUCCAUCCCUCACCAUCCUUUGUAGCAAAGUCUGCUUUGCUAAGACAAUUUAAUUAAGCUAAAACAACUUCCUAGGUCCCUGGGCCGUUUCUUUCCCCAUCGUGUUUGCACGGGCCUUUUUUCCUCUGUACUCCAUUCAAAUACAUUUUCUAUAAUGGCUAAACAUGGAGCUGGGAUGCAAACUCAGAAAGCAUGGUGAUAUUUUAUUUGCAUAUUUCCAUAAUUUCUCCAGCAGUACGAUGGAUGAGAGUAGUGGAGGGCUUUCAGAUGUCAAAUUUGCAGAUAGGAUGUGUCAGAAAGUCAUCUCUUUGGUAAUUUAAAAUAAUUCAUUAUAAACACUGUGAUGCAUAUGUGUAUAAAUUAGCUCUAAUUUUCACGCUAGGGAUUAUGGAUAGCAUGUGAAGGAAACUAAUCAGGAAAUCACCAUCCAGAAGUGGUUAUGUAAGCUCUGUAAAUAUUGUUAUAAAAAUCUAUUCCAGAGAGUAUGUCAACUAGCCUAGGUAAUGUAAAAUAGGCUUUUUAAAUUGGCUAAAUGAAGAGAGUUCAGGCUUUGAGGCUGGAUAGAAGACCGAUAGGUGCUUAUUAAUAUCUAAGUGUGGGGACUUGACCGAGAUUAAUGAAGGAUAUGAUGGUGGUUUUUGUGCCUGAUUGGGCUUCCCUGGUGGCUCAGACAGUAAAGAGUCUGCCUGCCAAUGCAGGAGACCCGGGUUUGAUCCCCAAGUCAGGAAGAUUCCCUGGAGAAGGUAAUGGCUACCCACUCCAAUAUUCUUGCCUGGAGAAUUCCAUGGACAGAGAAGCCUGGCGGGUUAUAGUCCAUGGGGUCACCAACAGUUGGCUAAGUGACUAACGCUUUCACCUUCUUCACUUUGUGCCUGCUUGAUAAUGAAGGUUGUUUUUGUUUUUAAUAAAUUUAAGUAUUUAGUCCUUCAUUUGUAAAGUAAUUUUAAAAAUUGAGACGUAAUUGACGUUAUGUAAGUUUUUAGGUGUAUAACAUCAUGGUUCAAUUUUUGUGUAUUAAUGGUUUGCAUGUGUGGCAGAAACUGGCCUAAGAAUGACUUUCACCAUGACGACCUGCUUGGAGGUGAGAUGGUGGGAGAAAGGAUACCCUCCUCUAACCCCAGGUACUUAGCAAUAUUUACCACAGGGAUGUGAUAAUUUCCAAGUGGUCAAAUGGCUUGGGUCUAUUUGCAACCCACAUCUUCAGCCAUGUUUUACAGUUGUUCUUGAUGAAGGUAAAAAUAAACAAGUCCUACUGACUAGUGGAGAACAGCGGGAGGAAAGAUUCUCCCUCAGAUUUGUCUGUUGAUCUACUUAAGGAUUCUGACACUUUGGACUUCUUGGUGCCUACAUGUCCCUCAUCUGGGACAUGGUGGACACAAAAUGAUGGGACUUGGGUCCUCCAAGGUAAUGAAUGCUAUUUAAUGGAGGUGAAUUAUUCAAUGGUAAAUAAGUCAGGCUUGGGGAGUUCAGGACAAAGGAUCAAAAUAUUAUUUUUAAAUGUGAUUUUUGGCAUAUAGGCCAUUGGUACCUGAGACUAGGAGAGAGUUACCGAAGGAAGAUAAUGAGAUGAACCUUCAAACUGUAGCAUCCUCACAGAAAAUGGUCCUCCUGGCCAAGGCACUCCCCCGAGGCGUUCUCCUACACACAUGGUUUGGGUAGAUGAAGGGUGAUUCCCAGAAGACAAGUGAUGGUCCUUCAGAAGAGGUCAGGUCUUCAAGGACCAGAUGCAGAAGGGCAUCCUUAAUUACAGACUGAGAGGGGUAGUGUCCAUGCAGACCGAGUGAAACAUUUCUACUGAUCCAGAUGAUUCUAAACACAGAGGGAGGUUAUCCUUGCCAUUAUAUUAUUGUUGGGUGGGCCUCCCCGAAGCACACUUCCCAAAAGAGUCCAGUGCUGUUGUGCCCCAGCAAUUCUCUCUUCUGGCCUGGUAAAGGCAUGGAGGGAGUGGUUGCUACAGGCAGCUUUGUCUCUUUUUCAGUUUGGAACACUGGGGGCAGAUGAGUUGACAUAAAACAAACAUAAUUACAUGUUAACUUCAAAGAUGGAAAAUACCAUGUACGCUAAAUUCCAUAACCUGCCAGGAAGGAAAUUAUUCACAUUGGCCUAAUUUUAUUUCAGAUCUACCUACCAUUGUGUAGAAUAAAAAUGUUGGUGAUUGACCUUAUAAUUGAAUACUUUUAUUAGAAAACAAUUUUUUAAAUGAUAAUAUAUUACAGAAUGGAACAUGCCUUGUCCCAAUUACAUAUUUUACUAGUAACUGAUAAUUAUGGAUAGUGCACAGCCACUUUGUAGAGAAUUAAAAUCUUUUUAAGAAGAACAGUAUAGAAUCAGCCAUUUUUUUGUCUUUAAUUUC